CUCGGGGAGCCUGGUCGGCGGCG
rnacentral:piRNA from 1 species